CCUGGCUUCUGUGGUGGGGAAAAAAAAGAAAAAAAAAGCAUUAUACUCAUUUUCAAAUCACUUCGGGUGUUUUCUUUGCUCAUCUAAGAAAAACCAUCAAGGUUAUUCAUUGUGUUCUCUUUGUUAUCACUGGAGGUUUAAACAUGCCAUGUAAUCCGUGGCCAAUUAAAACACUGAUUUCUGUUAUAAUUGCAGCAGUCGGGUUUGGAGGCGUUUGGGAUGGGUGGAACAGGUGGGACAAUGGCACAGGGAGAGCUUUCUUGCUUUAUUCUUGUAUGAAAUGAAUACAGAUGUGGCUAAUUCCAAUCCAUGUUCUCCUUCAGAGUGUGCCAGCAGCCAGGGCUCACUCAGGACACAAAGUAGACAGUACUGACAGCAGGGACUGGUCGUGACCAGGAUGAAGGAGUGGGCAUCAAGGAAAGCGUGCCCCUUCCCAGCUAGUUCUGCCCACAUUACCUAACCCAGAGGAUGCAGUGUUACCUCCACCUGGGCUCCCAAACACCCUCUGGAUGGAUGGGGCCCUGAGCAUCCUGUUCUAGUACCAGACCUGGAGGUUAGUGGCCCUGCCUGUGUCGGAGGGCUGGAACUUGAUUAUCCUUGGGGUCCCUUCCAACCCAAGCCAUUCUAUGAUUCUAUGAUGACUCUGGUCAACCUUGCCUCGACCCUUCCUAAAGACCCCACUGCUCAACAAGAUGCAGGAACUCACUGUUGCCUUGGGAACGCCUUCAGAACACACAGCACCCUACCUAGGGCAUGGCCUGUAGCACCUUGGAGCUCUUUCUUCACACUGCUAAGUUGUUGUUUUCUUAAUCCUAUUCACACUUGACAUGCCUUAUGCCCAUGGCUCCCAGACCCAGCUACGAUAACAAGGUUUGAAGUUUUCUUGCUAAACAUGCCAGACACAGAGCCUGGUGGCCCACUUGGCCAAGGGCUGCUGCUGUUUGGUCCAGUAACGGCUGAAGUGCCUUUUCUGAUGUCUUCCUCACUACGGGGCACUUUCCACAAACCCAGAUCUCCAUUCUCCCUGGCCUUUGCAUGGCCAGGGAGUGCAAAGGAACCUUUGCACUCCCUGGCCAUGCCCCUUGCUCUUCUCUCCCUCAAGCCUUGGCCUUGCGUUGAAGGAUCACAGUGAACCACAGAACCUCAGCGCAAGGCACAGACUCAGCAUCAGCUACAGGAGGGGCACGCACCCAGCCCAAGGCACAGCCACAGCAAAGGCUGGGCGCUGUGCUGCCCGUGGCCAAGAGUGCAGCAUAGGAAGGACCCAGGAAUGAGGGAGGCGAAAGUAGUACGG
ensembl:lncRNA